UUUAAUUGAAGAGUUUGAUCAUGGCUCAGAUUGAACGCUGGCGGCAGGCUUAACACAUGCAAGUCGAGCGGUAGCACAGGGGAGCUUG
rnacentral:rRNA from 1 species